AAACCGGAGCUAAUACCGGAUAAUAUAUUGAACCGCAUGGGUUCAAUAGUGAAAGACGGUUUUGCUGUCACUUAUAGAUGGAUCCGCGCCGCAUUAGCUAGUUGGUAAGGUAACGGCUUACCAAGGCAACGAUGCGUAGCCGACCUGAGAGGGUGAUCGGCCACACUGGAACUGAGACACGGUCCAG
rnacentral:rRNA from 1 species